rnacentral:misc_RNA from 1 species
AGGAGAAGGAGAAGCUGGAUGAGGACGAGCUUGGUGAGGAUGCGCUGUCGGUCGUUUCAGAUGACUUGCGACAACCUCGAGGACUCCUGGACUCGCCGGACGAACUUCUCUCGCCAAUCUUCUACCAAGUGUACGAGAU